AUCCAAGAAACAAGCACGGACCAACUAUAGAAAUUGAUACGCCCACUGAGGUCAUUGCAGUAAAACUUCAGGGAGGAGGCACUCAAGCCAAAAGUGCGAGGGUGAAGCAGUGAACAUGGAAAUGUGUGUUCUUGACACGCACCACCUCCCCGCGACACACCUCCCCACAGCGC